rnacentral:rRNA from 1 species
GACGAACGCUGGCGGCGUGCCUAAUACAUGCAAGUAGAACGCUGAAGAGAGGAGCUUACUCUUCUUGGAUGAGUUGCGAACGGGUGAGUAACGCGUAGGUAACCUGCCUUGUAGCGGGGGAUAACUAUUGGAAACGAUAGCUAAUACCGCAUAACAAUGGAUGACACAUGUCAUUUAUUUGAAAGGGGCAAUUGCUCCGCUACAAGAUGGACCUGCGUUGUAUUAGCUAGUAGGUGAGGUAAUGGCUCACCUAGGCGACGAUACAUAGCCGACCUGAGAGGGUGAUCGGCCACACUGGGACUGAGACACGGCCCAGACUCCUACGGGAGGCAGCAGUAGGGAAUCUUCGGCAAUGGGGGCAACCCUGACCGAGCAACGCCGCGUGAGUGAAGAAGGUUUUCGGAUCGUAAAGCUCUGUUGUAAGUCAAGAACGGGUGUGAGAGUGGAAAGUUCACACUGUGACGGUAGCUUACCAGAAAGGGACGGCUAACUACGUG